ACAAGCAGAGAUGACCCAGGGCAAACUCUUCUCAUGGAGAGUAACCAGAACAAAAAGAAGGCCAAACCGUGCAAGCAGAUUUAAGAUCUCUGCUUAUUCCUUCUGCUAAUGUUUCAAAGGAAGUCAUGGAGCUAACGCCAUCAACAGCAGGGUUAUUGGGAAGAGUCUACAGGAUCAUAUGGUGGACAGACCUGUAAAACUGUAUGAGUGUUGGUGAGCAGUCUUUUUUUUGUCAGGAACUUGAUAAAUGAAUGUGGACAAUGUGGAACAUCUAGUGGACAGAGAAAAGGGGUGUGGACUCAAGUGACCUCCAUUCCUUUGGUUUCUUCACCUGACGAGUGCAUCAGAGACGAUGUGAGUUGGUUCUGGGAACUGCUUAGAGAUGGCACAGUCUAAUCCUCUAGCUUCUCAUGAGUCCUGGUGGAAGCAACCUGACCCGGGCUGCACACAGCACAUCACCAACUCAGAUCCAACACUGCUCCCUCGGCACCCUCGGUUCAGCCCCAGCUCAGGACGUGUCUCUUUCUGCCAGAUCAGAGAGUUUGGAAGGGUGUGGAGGUUCAGUUCCUGGACUAACUAAACAGGAGGCUGCAAGCUUUCCUCUGAUGUGCCCCCUUGUCCAAGGGCCCUGCCCCUGGGAGACAGAACUCUGGGCUGUGGCCGCUCCUCCUGGUGUCUGCUUUGGACUCACCACAAGCCCAGCUGCUAUUGACCACCUGGAUUUCUUUUAAAAGGAACUGGAUAAAGCCCUUACACAUAUCACCUCACUGAUCUUCAAUCCAGCAAGGUACCUCACUUAAAACAGCUAAACCUGUGUCAACUAAGAGUCCAGUCCUGCACUCUGAGAACUCAUGAAGUGAUGCAAAUACACAGAUGCUCAAGUCAGAAGAGAUUCCUGUCUCAUUGUCAUCAUCUGAGCCUUGUGGCCCAGUGGACAAUGAAGGUGAUUAUAAUACUUACCUUGCUUCUUAUGAAAAUGAGCAUGACCAUCACACAUAAAUUUCUUUGAGAAUUAGUUAUACAACUGUUACACAUGACAAUGAAUAUUCACAAGCAGGGAAGGCAAGGGAAAUUCACAUUUACAAGCUAAUGAUUAUGAAGUGCUUCCUGAGUAAUUUACAUGAAUCAUUCCAUUAAUUUGAACAAGAGUUACAUUGUUCAUUCCAUUAAUUUAAACAAGAGCCUAAAUGGAGGCUGGUACCUUUAUCAUCUCCAGUUUAGAUGAAGAGACUGACACCCAGAGAUUUUAAGUAACAGACAGCAAAGGGCAGGGUCAGAAUAUUAAGUCUUGGUAAUUUAGUGCCAGCAAAUGAGCAUUUUAACUAUCAGAUGCCUCAACACCACCUGAAGGUCUGGAUAAAACAGAAAUUGCUGGGUCCCACUCCCAAGGUUCUGAUUCAGUAGCUUUGAGAAUUUGGUUUCUAAGACGUUCCCAGGUGACCCUGAUGCUGCUGGACUGGGGGCCACACGGUGAGAAUUCUGUGUCACACAGAGCUCUCCUGGUACUUCCUGCCCCAUCAGUGUCUAAAUCAGGAUCUCUGAGGCCUGUUUGCACAAGUGAGCUGGACAUCUGUGUGCACAAGGUAUUUGAUUUAUGUCAUGAAGACAUUUGUUACACUAAUGGGCAAAAUAGAUGAGGACGCUGAGGAGACUCUGACUUCUUCAGAAGUGAAGUGAGAGAAGUUGCUCAGUGCUUGAUGGCCCUGCCGCUACCCAAAUCAUUGUAGCUCUGGCUGCUCAGACUCUUCCCCAGAGCUGGCCAGGGGGAGGGGAGGCCAUUGUCUGAGGAAGACACAGAGAACAGAUUCACAGCCUGCUUCCUUAGCUUCCCUCAGCUUUGCCCUUUUAGCUGGUCACACUCUCGGAUUUCAGAAAUCAUCUAUGAGUGGAGACAUAAGGCAUAGCUUGCAAGAAGAGAAAGCAUAGGCCAAGAAGAUUUAAACUUAAUUAAUAUUAAUUAAAUUUAUGGUUUUUAAAAGGAAUAAGAAAAAAGAUCUCUAGAAGAAUAAUAGGGGUUGAGCCAAAAGCAGAGGUCAUAGACAGAAGAGAGCUAAAAAAUCAAGACAUAUAGAUAUACUGUUAUUCCAGAAUUCUAUUUGUUGAGAGGACUAUGCUUUCUCCACCAAACAACCUUCAUAGCUUUGUCAAAUCAGUUGUCCAAAUUGAAGAGCCAAAACAAUCUUGGAAAAGAUGAAUAAAGUUGCUGGACUCAAACAUCAUGAUUUCAAAAUUUACUACAGAUCUACAGCAAUCAAGACUGUGUGGUGCUCACAUAAAGAUAGACAUAUACACAAUGGAAAAUAAUUCGAGAAUCUACAAAGAAACCCUCACAUAUAUGGUUGAUUGAUUUUCUGCAAUGGUGCCAAGACUGUUUAGUGUGGGUAAAAACGGUCUUCACCAAAUGGUAUUGGGAUAACCAGAUAUCCACAUACAAAAGAAUAAAGUUGGACUCCUGCCUCACACCAUAUACAAAAGUGAAUUCAAAAUGAAUCACAACUAUAAGACUCUGAGAAGAAACAUAAGGGUCAAUCCUUGGGCACUUAGAUUAGGUAAUGGGCCAUCUCUCCAUUUAUUUAGAUCUUAUUUAGUUUCACUCAACAAUGUUUUAUAGGUUUCAGUACAGGUCUUUCACAUCUUUUGCAGAUUUAUACCUAUUUUAUGCUAUUACAAAUAACGAUUUUUACAUUUUAAGUUCUAAUUUUUAUUUCCAUUAGUGUAUAAAAAUAAUGUUGAUCUUUGUACAUUGAUUUGGUACCCUGCAGCCUCACUAAACUCACUUAGUUUUAGUAGCUUUACUGUAGAUUCCAUCAGCUUUUCUCUGUAAACAGUCGUGUCAUUUGUACAUAAAGGCAAUUUUACUUCUCCAACGUAUAUACCUUUCAUUUCUUUUUCUUGACUUAAUAA
ensembl:lncRNA